rnacentral:rRNA from 1 species
CCUACGGGAAGCAGCAGUGAGGAAUAUUGGUCAAUGGACGAGAGUCUGAACCAGCCAAGUAGCGUGAAGGAUGACUGCCCUAUGGGUUGUAAACUUCUUUUAUAAAGGAAUAAAACGAGGCACGUGUGCCUUUUUGCAUGUACUUUAUGAAUAAGGAUCGGCUAACUCCGUGCCAGCCGCCGCGGUAAUACGGAGGAUCCGAGCGUUAUCCGGAUUUAUUGGGUUUAAAGGGAGCGUAGAUGGGUUUUUAAGUCAGUUGUGAAAGUUUGCGGCUCAACCGUAAAAUUGCAAUUGAUACUGGCAGUCUUGAGUACAGUUGAGGUAGGCGGAAUUCGUGGUGUAGCGGUGAAAUGCUGAGAUAUCACGAAGAACCCCGAUUGCGAAGGCAGCUUACUAAACUGUGACUGACAUUGAUGCUCGAAAGUGUGGGUAUCAAACAGGAUUAGAUACCCCUGUAGUC